AUUGAACGCUGGCGGCAGGCCUAACACAUGCAAGUCGAACGGUAACAGGAAGAUGCUUGCUUCUUUGCUGACGAGUGGCGGACGUGUGAGUAAUGUCUGGGCAACUGCCUGAUGGAGGGGGAUACCUACUGGAAACGGUAGCUAAUACCGCAUAACGUCGCAAGACCAAAGAGGGGGACCUUCGGGCCUUUUGCCAUCGGAUGUGCCCAGAUGGGAUUAGCUAGUAGGUGGGGUAACGGCUCACCUAGGCGACGAUCCCUAGCUGGUCUGAGAGGAUGACCAGCCACACUGGAACUGAGACACGGUCCAGACUCCUACGGGAGGCAGCAGUGGGGAAUAUUGCACAAUGGGCGCAAGCCUGAUGCAGCCAUGCCGCGUGUAUGAAGAAGGCCUUCGGGUUGUAAAGUACUUUCAGCGGGGAGGAAGGGAGUAAAGUUAAUACCUUUGCUCAUUGACGUUACCCGCAGAAGAAGCACCGGCUAACUCCGUG
rnacentral:rRNA from 1 species